rnacentral:rRNA from 1 species
GAUGAAACGCUGGCGGCGUGCUUAACACAUGCAAGUCGAACGGGAAACAUUUUAUUGAAGCUUCGGCAGAUUUAGUUUGUUUCUAGUGGCGGACGGGUGAGUAACGCGUGGGUAACCUGCCUCACACUGGGGGAUAACAGUCAGAAAUGACUGCUAAUACCGCAUAAGCGCACGAGACCGCAUGGUUUUGUGUGAAAAACUCCGGUGGUGUGAGAUGGACCCGCGUCCAAUUAGCUAGUUGGUGAGGUAACGGCCCACCAAGGCGACGAUUGGUAGCCGGCCUGAGAGGGUGAACGGCCACAUUGGGACUGAGACACGGCCCAGACUCCUACGGGAGGCAGCAGUGGGGAAUAUUGCACAAUGGGGGAAACCCUGAUGCAGCGACGCCGCGUGAAGGAAGAAAGUAUCUCGGUAUGUAAAACUUCUAUCAGCAGGGAAGAUAGUGACGGUACCUGACCUAAGAAGCCCCGGCUAACUACGUGCCAGCAGCCGCCGCUGU